CGGCGUGUCGAGCUGCUAUUAAUUUGUUUAACAUUUAAUUUAAUUUAAUUCAUUUAUAAAAUAAUCAUAAAUCAGGUCAAUGAUGAAGCGCACUGCUUUUAAAUGGCUGCAUAAUAAUCACGUCAACAUAAUUGACUUUGGCGAUUGACCAGCGGCUACCACUUCAACCACGUGGUUUCUUAGCACUUGUUGAAACUUAUCAAUGCUUGAAUUAAAAUGAGCAAAGUUAAAAUAGUUGAAGUCCUUUGGAGAAGUAAAUUUGGAGCUUACACAUAACCAACAUAUGCUCGAGACUUUGUGCGCAUUAAACUGGCGGAAUGGAAAUUGGGAAAAAGCCCUUGUCCACGCUAAAAAGCACAAUGCACAUUGACCAAGCGGUCAGGCAUGAAUUUAAUAUAUUAAUUUUAUUAUACGAAAUAGUUUAAUAUUCAUAUCAAUAAUGUGUAA